rnacentral:lncRNA from 1 species
GAGGGAAGAGAAAGAAAAUAAUUAGAGAUGGAAUAUUUUUUAAAUAAAAUUAUAUGAUCAUAUUAUAACCAUUACAAUGCUAUUUUUGUCAUUUUAAUGUAAUAUAAUUGAGUUUGAUUAUAUUUUUCCUACUUAUUAAUUAUUACCUCCAUAGUUUUAAUUAAUGAGGUUCAUUGAAUUUAAUAUAUAAUUCGGUUUGAUUUUUUUCUUUCUACUUAUUAAUUAUUGCAUACAUGGUUUAAUUGAGUUUCAUUUAAGAUAAAAU